rnacentral:rRNA from 1 species
UACAGAGGAUGCAAGCGUUAUCCGGAAUGAUUGGGCGUAAAGCGUCUGUAGGUGGCUUUUUAAGUCCGCCGUCAAAUCCCAGGGCUCAACUCUGGACAGGCGGUGGAAACUACCAAGCUGGAGUACGGUAGGGGCAGAGGGAAUUUCCGGUGGAGCGGUGGAAUGCGUAGAGAUCCGGAAGAACACCGGUGGCGAAGGCGGUCUGCUGGGCCAAGACUGACGCUGAGGCGCGACAGCGUGGGGAGCAAACAGG